rnacentral:tRNA from 1 species
GUUUUUAUAGUUGAAUUACAACGGUGGUUUUUCAAAUCAUUAGUCCUGGUUGAAGCCCUGGUGAAAAUU